rnacentral:tRNA from 1 species
GAGGGUAUAGCUCAGUGGUAAAGUGCAUGCUUAGCAUGCAUGAGGUCCUGGGUUCAAUCCCCCAUACCUCCA